CCCUUAGAUGUUCUGGGCGGCCCGCGCACUACAUUGGCACUCUCAAUAAGUUCCUAGAUCUAAAACUUUGGGGUAUUCUAUUAAGUGGUGUCGUGACUGGGAUUAACCCUUGCAAUUAUUGGUUACGAACGAGGAAUUCCUUGUAAUCGCGGUUUAUCAGCCCGCGUUGAAUGCGUCCCUGCCCUUUGUACACACCGCCCGUCGCUCCUACUGAUGAAUCGUCCGGUGAAGUUCAUGGAGUGGUGGUUGUUCCAGCUGCUGUCGAAGUGAAAUGGACCUCACGAUUUAGAGGAAGGAGAAGUCGUAACA
rnacentral:rRNA from 1 species